rfam:Osedax symbiont Rs1 5221_181, whole genome shotgun sequence.
UUUGUUUAGCACAACGCUAAACAUUUAAUGAUGGAGUAAGUUGAAUGGCCCGUAUAGCUGGCGUCAAUAUUCCUGAC